UACGAAGGGGGCUAGCGUUGUUCGGAAUUACUGGGCGUAAAGCGCACGUAGGCGGAUUGUUAAGUUAGGGGUGAAAUCCCGGGGCUCAACCCCGGAACUGCCUUUAAUACUGGCAAUCUCGAGUCCGAGAGAGGUGAGUGGAAUUCCGAGUGUAGAGGUGAAAUUCGUAGAUAUUCGGAGGAACACCAGUGGCGAAGGCGGCUCACUGGCUCGGUACUGACGCUGAGGUGCGAAAGCGUGGGGAGCAAACAG
rnacentral:rRNA from 1 species